GACGAAUCGUGCAAACGUUGUUCGGAAUCACUGGGCUUAAAGGGCGCGUAGGCGGGCCAGCCAGUCUGUGGUGAAAGCCUCCAGCUUAACUGGAGAAGUGCCGUGGAUACUGCUGGCCUCGAGGAGGAUAGGGGCAUCUGGAACGGUCGGUGGAGCGGUGAAAUGCGUUGAUAUCGACCGGAACUCCGGUGGCGAAGGCGAGGUGCUGGGUCCUUUCUGACGCUGAUGCGCGAAAGCCAGGGGAGCAAACGGG
rnacentral:rRNA from 1 species